ACACAUCUGAGACCUCAAAAAAGGCAGCGUCGUUACACUUCUUGGUCUUCUUCUCACUUUCCACUUAACAAUCAGACCUCCGCACACCAGAGAAAACAACGAACAACACACUCUCUUGUUAUCCAUUCCCUCCUCUCCUCAUUUUCAUAACUCCACCCACACAUAGAUAUCUCAUAAAACAAGGCUAAAAAAGGAGUUAUGGAUUAAAUUAUUUGAAUUCCAGAUCUGAAAAUACCAAAAAAUUCCCAUAAACGAAAAUAAACAAGAAGAAGCGAUUAAAAAAGGGAAUUCGAAGCUAUUUUCCAAUUCCUACUCGAUUGCUGCAUGUCUUUCUUGGGUUUAGGAAGCUGUUGAGAAUGAAGAGCCGUUGUUUGUUUGCUGAACUCGUUUGGCCUCAAGUUGCUGAGUUUUCAUUUCCGUAACUUCAUACCUUUAAUUGGUCUAGGUCUAGUGUUUUAGUAACUGUCCAGGUAAUCCUUCCAAACUGUACCGCUGCUUAAUUUUUUUCGGAUCAUGAAAUCAUAAGAAUUUGGACAAGUAAGAUUCAAACAGGAUGUUGGGAACACCUGCAAUGAUAUGUGAUGUGAAGUUACAUAUUUGAUUCAAUUUUAGUUGUUAUUUGGUCGUUUGAACUCAUUAGAGUCCUCUUAAAUCAUGACUGUAGUAUUCAAGAGUUGAAAAAUAUUUAAAUCUAUCAAAUUGGUUGACACUCACCAUGCUAAGUCUUUCUUGAUUACUUUAUUGAAAUGAAAAUUGAUUUGACAUUCAAGUUUACUGCACUUGUUAUUUUAGAAAUGAUUUUGAAUAUGUUUUGUGUCUUCCAUUGAGUAAUGUGGUUUUAGAAGAUUGAAAUUGGGUGAAAUCAUGUGAAUUUGUUUUCCAGAAUUAGUGAAAAAGUGUUGGGAUGUUAUAGCUAUGAUUUUGAAUAGUUUCAUAUGAUACAGCUUUGUGAUUUGACGAUAAUUGCUUUGGAUUUGUUUAACUAUGAACCACCUGAGG
rnacentral:lncRNA from 1 species